AUACGGAGGGUGCGAGCGUUAAUCGGAAUUACUGGGCGUAAAGCGUACGCAGGCGGUUGGUUAAGCGAGAUGUGAAAUCCCCGGGCUCAACCUGGGAACUGCAUUUCGAACUGGCCAACUAGAGUAUGAGAGAGGGUGGUAGAAUUUCAGGUGUAGCGGUGAAAUGCGUAGAGAUCUGAAGGAAUACCGAUGGCGAAGGCAGCCACCUGGUUCAAUACUGACGCUCAUGUACGAAAGCGUGGGGAGCAAACAGGAUUAGAAACCCCAGUAGUCC
rnacentral:rRNA from 1 species